CUUGGAGGCACUUUCCUCCCGCAUUCUACCUCCAACUAGGAGGGACUUGACAUUCUGUUGUCCUUAGAUUACAAGACUCCGUGACAUUGCUAUCCGACUUAGGGAAGCAGUAUGAACCCAUGUUUCCCGAAGAAGUCAUAUCUGGGCUACUGAUGACUGAACUGCAGCUUUAGGUUGUGAAGAGACAUCUGAAUGUUGUACACAACACAGGUACUCUCAGUUGGCCCAGGAGAAGUGGGUCCAGAAGAACUGUGAUGUGGGACCUCAGAGAUGAUCACCUGAGGAGUCAUCAGGAUUGGCACCAAGUGCCAGCACCAGCCAUCUCCAUCCAUGUUGUAUCUCAGAGUGGACAAUGCUUGGGUGGAGGGGCAGACGUGGAGGCUGGAGCAGCAGCUGAGCACUCACAUUUGAAGUGGAAUACGCAAAGCAGAGAGUGUGGAGUAGAAAUAUGCAUGGAUUUUGGUUCCUUGAAGACUCCUGGUGACACACUCUCUCCAGCAAGAUCACACUUCCUAAGUCUGGCCCAACAGUGCUACCAGCUGAACUCCAAGAAUUCAAAUACCUGAGACUUAUUGGGGGUCGGGGUGGGGAAUCUCAUUCAAACCACAACAGAACAGAGAGUAAAGGUGCUUGCUGCCAGCCCUAAGGACCUGAGGUUGAAGCCUGGGACCCACAUGGUAGAAGAAGAGAACUAACUCUUACAAAUUGUCCUCUGACCUCCACAUGGAUGC